UUGUCCUGUGUUGCCAUGCCCGAAAGGGCGGAACUCGCAGGAGACCGCCAGCGAUAAGCUGGAGGAAGGUGGGGAUGACGUCAAGUCCUCAUGGCCUUUAUGUCCAGGGCUACACACGUGCUACAAUGGACGGUACAAAGCGUCGCUAACCCGCGAGGGGGAGCCAAUCGCAAAAAACCGUUCUCAGUUCGGAUUGCAGGCUGCAACUCGCCUGCAUGAAGCUGGAAUCGCUAGUAAUGGCAGAUCAGCACGCUGCCGUGAAUACGUUCCCGGGCCUU
rnacentral:rRNA from 1 species